CGACGACGUCCAAAAGUACAUUUUUACACUCUUGACCUCGGAUCAGGUAGGGAUACCCGCUGAACUUAAGCAUAUCAAUAA
rnacentral:rRNA from 1 species